rnacentral:rRNA from 1 species
UACGUAGGUGGCAAGCGUUAUCCGGAAUUAUUGGGCGUAAAGAGCGCGCAGGUGGUUAAUUAAGUCUGAUGUGAAAGCCCACGGCUUAACCGUGGAGGGUCAUUGGAAACUGGUUGACUUGAGUGCAGAAGAGGGAAGUGGAAUUCCAUGUGUAGCGGUGAAAUGCGUAGAGAUAUGGAGGAACACCAGUGGCGAAGGCGGCUUCCUGGUCUGCAACUGACGCUGAGGCGCGAGAGCGUGGGGAGCAAACAGG